GUGCCAGCCGCCGCGGUAAUACGUAGGUGGCAAGCGUUGUCCGGAAUCACUGGGCGUAAAGCGCGCGCAGGCGGCGAUCUACGUCUGGGGUGAAAGCCCGGAGCUCAACUCCGGGACUGCCUUGGAUACGGGAUCGCUUGAGGAUUGGAGAGGCAAGGGGAAUUCCACGUGUAGCGGUGAAAUGCGUAGAGAUGUGGAGGAACACCUGUGGCGAAGGCGCCUUGCUGGCCAAUUACUGACGCUGAGGCGCGAAAGCGUGGGGAGCAAACAGGAUUAGAAACCCCCGUAGUCC
rnacentral:rRNA from 1 species